rnacentral:rRNA from 1 species
AUGCGUUGCGUUGCGUUUACAGGACGCUUCCGGUGUCGAUUAGUGCCGGUGACGGUGAGCAUCUCCGGGCUUUGGGUGCGCCUCGUAACAAUGGGACUCGUCGCCGUGUCUUUUUCUAUGGUGCCAGUGUGCUGCUGCUGCUGCAGUUGCAAGGAUCAUGUGUGUCCCAAAGCGCUUCGCUUCGCUCAACACGUGAACGUUGGAGCUGGGAUGAAUGGGGACGGUUGCGGUUGUCCGGGAGCGAGUGGAGUAGGUGGAUGGGAGGGGCGGACGGCGCCUGCUUCGCUUUCCCACCUGUGCCCCAACGAAAAAAUAUCUGUGGCGAACUAG